rnacentral:rRNA from 1 species
UGCGGAAUCGGCAGUCCUACCAUGCAAGUCGAGGGAUAAGCCCUUCGGGGUGGAAACCGGCGCACGGGUGCGUAACGCGUAUGCAACCUACCUUUCACAGGGGGAUAGCCCGAAGAAAUUUGGAUUAAUACCCCAUAAUAUUGUUGGAUGGCAUCAUCUGAUAAUUAAAGUUACGAUGGUGAAAGAUGGGCAUGCGUCCUAUUAGCUAGUUGGAGUGGUAACGGCACCCCAAGGCUACGAUAGGUAGGGGUCCUGAGAGGGAGAUCCCCCACACUGGUACUGAGACAGGGACCAGACUCCUACGGGAGGCAGCAGUGAGGAAUAUUGGUCAAUGGUCGAAAGACUGAACCAGCCAUGCCGCGUGCAGGACAGACGGCCCUAGAGGUUGUAAACUGCUUUUAUAUGGGAAGAAUAAGGAGUACGAGUACUUUGAUGACGGUACCAUAUGAAUAAGCAUCGGCUAACUCCGUGCCAGCAGCCGCGGUAAUACGGAGGAUGCGAGCGUUAUUCGGAAUCAUUGGGUUUAAAGGGUCUGUAGGCGGGCUAUUAAGUCAGGGGUGAAAGGUUUCAGCUUAACUGAGAAAUUGCCUUUGAUACUGGUAGUCUUGAAUAUCUGUGAAGUUCUUGGAAUGUGUAGUGUAGCGGUGAGAUGCUUAGAUAUUACACAGAACACCGAUUGCGGAGGCAGGGGACUAACAGAUGAUUGACGCUGAGAGACGAAAGCGUGGGGAGCGAACAGGAUUAGAUACCCUGGUAGUCCACGCUGUAAACGAUGGAUACUAGCUGUUUGGCGUAAGCUGAGUGGCUAAGCGAAAGUGAUAAGUAUCCCACCUGGGGAGUACGCACGCAAGUGUGAAACUCAAGGAAUUGACGGGGGCCCGCACA